GUCAUCUUUCUCUGCAACAACUGUGCGACGUAACCCCACAUGCAGCUCCCAGGUACCGAGAGCUACGAAGAGACUAGAGGGGAUGGGGCAGGAGUCCUACAGGACUCGGCGAACACACCCCUUAGGCUCGGUGGUGGCCCGUGCAAGGCAGAAAGCCCUCUGAUGGCUGAGGUGUUGGCAUUGUGGGAAGGACUCGAGGCUGCUGAGCUCCUCCAAUGAACACAUUUACGGAUCAAGACAGACGCUUUGUCCCUUUUUUGCGAUAUUUUCCACCUUUUUGACAGACUUACAGUGGUGGAAGUCUCUCACCUCUGUAGAUCUGCUAAUGUGAUGAGCCACUCUCUAGCUGGUUUAGGUAGAGCUCGCAACCCUGUUUUUGUAUGCUGCGG